AGUGAACGCUGGCGGUAGGCCUAACACAUGCAAGUCGAACGGCAGCACAGUAAGAGCUUGCUCUUACGGGUGGCGAGUGGCGGACGGGUGAGGAAUACAUCGGAAUCUACUUUUUCGUGGGGGAUAACGUAGGGAAACUUACGCUAAUACCGCAUACGACCUACGGGUGAAAGCAGGGGAUCUUCGGACCUUGCGCGAUUGAAUGAGCCGAUGUCGGAUUAGCUAGUUGGCGGGGUAAAGGCCCACCAAGGCGACGAUCCGUAGCUGGUCUGAGAGGAUGAUCAGCCACACUGGAACGGAGACACGGUCCAGACUCCUACGGGAGGCAGCAGUGGGGAAUAUUGGACAAUGGGCGCAAGCCUGAUCCAGCCAUACCGCGUGGGUGAAGAAGGCUUUCGGGUUGUAAAGCCCUUUUGUUGGGAAAGAAAAGCAGCAGGUUAAUACCCCGCUGUUCUGACGGUACCAAAAGAAUAAGCACCGGCUAACUUCGUG
rnacentral:rRNA from 1 species